AGCCUGGGCAACAGAGUAAGACCCUGUCUCAAAAAAAGAAACAACUCUGCACGAACUUCCCACACGCUAGGUGCGGUGGAUAUAGGGGUACAGCGCUGAGUAAAGUGGAUUAUAGGGGCAUGGUGCUGAGUCACGUGGAUAUAGGGGUGAGGAGCUGAGUCACAUGGAUAUGGGGUAAGGCUCUGAGUCAUGUAGAUAUAGGGGUACAGCGCUGAGUAAUGUGGAUUAUAGGGGUACGGCACUGAGUAAAGUGGAUUAUAGGGGUACGGAGCUGAGUUGCGUGAAUGUAGGGGUACAGCGCUGAGUUGUGGAUAUAGGGGCACAGAGCCGAGUCGUGGAUAUCGGGGUAUGGAGCCGAGUCGUGGAUACAGGGGUACGGCGCUGAGUCAUGUGGAUACAGGGGUACGGAGCUGAGUCAUGUGGAUUAUAGGGGUACGGAGCUGGGUCGUGGAUAUAGGGGUACGGAGCUGAGUCAUGUGGAUUAUAGGGGUACGGAGCUGAGUCAUGUGGAUAUAGGGGUACGGAGCUGAGUCGUGGAUAUAGGGGUACGGCGCUGAGUCAUGUGGAUUAUAGGGGUACAGAGCUGAGUCAUGUGGAUAUAGGGGUACGGCGCUGAGUCAUGUGGAUAUAGGGGUACGGCGCUGAGUCAUGUGGAUAUAGGGGUACGGACAGUCGUGGAUUAUAGGGGUACAGAGCUCAGUCAUGUGGAUAUAGGGGUACGGAGCUGAGUCAUGUGGAUAUAGGGGUAUGGAGCUGAAUCACACUGGGGCUCUGUCCUCAGAGUGUCUGAGGUCCAGUGCAAGAGGUUGAUAGGAAGUUCAUGGUAAGAGCCCACUGUGAUAUGAGCACAGCCAUGGAGCA
rnacentral:lncRNA from 10 species